rnacentral:lncRNA from 1 species
UGGUGUAUUCAUUUUUUUUCCAUACUUGCAGCUUCUCAUAUGUCUUGUGUGCUUCCUCUAGUUUUUUUUUUUUUUAAUUUCCUUCUCCUGCAGAUUGUCUAGCUGUUACCCAUGAGAAGAGGUAGAUAUCCUGAGAGGACAGAACAUUUCCCUCUGCCCAUUUCAGCUAUGCCACCGUUGGAAACAGAUGGAUUCUUCACAUCUUCAUAGUGGUGCAGAUGCUUAAGCACCUUUCUGGUGCAGCCUUGAACCUGGAUUUGCUUGAGGAUAUUUAUUGGAGGACUGCUGGGAAUUUUCCUAGCUCUGGUAGACGAGACUGCUGGCA